rnacentral:rRNA from 1 species
CCCCAGACUCCUACGGGAGGCAGCAGUGGGGAAUAUUGCACAAUGGGGGAAACCCUGAUGCAGCGACGCCGCGUGAGCGAUGAAGUAUUUCGGUAUGUAAAGCUCUAUCAGCAGGGAAGAAGAUGACGGUACCUGACUAAGAAGCCCCGGCUAACUACGUGCCAGCAGCCGCGGUAAUACGUAGGGGGCAAGCGUUAUCCGGAUUUACUGGGUGUAAAGGGAGCGUAGACGGCGAUGCAAGCCAGAUGUGAAAGCCCGGGGCUCAACCCCGGGACUGCAUUUGGAACUGUGUGGCUGGAGUGUCGGAGAGGCAGGCGGAAUUCCUAGUGUAGCGGUGAAAUGCGUAGAUAUUAGGAGGAACACCAGUGGCGAAGGCGGCCUGCUGGACGAUGACUGACGUUGAGGCUCGAAAGCGUGGGGAGCAAACAGGAUUAGAUACCCCCGUAGG